GAUGAACGCUAGCGGCAGGCCUAAUACAUGCAAGUCGAGGGGUAGAAGAGGCUUGCUUCUUUGAGACCGGCGCACGGGUGCGUAACGCGUAUGCAACCUACCUUCAUCUGGGGGAUAGCCCGGAGAAAUCCGGAUUAAUACCGCCUAAAAUCACAGGAUGGCAUUAUCCAAUGAUCAAACAUUUAUUGGAGUGAGAGGGGAAGGCGUGUCAUUAUCUAGUUGGCGGGGUAACGGCCCACCAAGGCGACGAUGACUAGGGGAUCUGAGAGGAUGGCCCCCCACACUGGUACUGAGACACGGACCAGACUCCUACGGGAGGCAGCAGUAAGGAAUAUUGGUCAAUGGAGGCAACUCUGAACCAGCCAUGCCGCGUGCAGGAAGACUGCCCUAUGGGUUGUAAACUGCUUUUAUUCGGGAAUAAACCUUAUUACGUGUAAUAAGCUGAAUGUACCGAAGGAAUAAGGAUCGGCUAACUCCGUGCCAGCCGCCGCUGUAA
rnacentral:rRNA from 1 species